UGGGGAAUUUUGGACAAUGGGCGAAAGCCUGAUCCAGCAAUGCCGCGUGUGUGAAGAAGGCCUUCGGGUUGUAAAGCACUUUUGUCCGGAAAGAAAUCCUUGGCUCUAAUACAGUCGGGGGAUGACGGUACCGGAAGAAUAAGCACCGGCUAACUACGUGCCAGCAGCCGCGGUAAUACGUAGGGUGCAAGCGUUAAUCGGAAUUACUGGGCGUAAAGCGUGCGCAGGCGGUUUGCUAAGACCGGUGUGAAAUCCCCGGGCUCAACCUGGGAACUGCAUUGGUGACUGGCAGGCUAGAGUAUGGCAGAGGGGGGUAGAAUUCCACGUGUAGCAGUGAAAUGCGUAGAGAUGUGGAGGAAUACCGAUGGCGAAGGCAGCCCCCUGGGCCAAUACUGACGCUCAUGCACGAAAGCGUGGGGAGCAAACAGGAUUAGAUACCCUGGUAGUCCACGCCCUAAACGAUGUCAACUAGUUGUUGGGGAUUCAUUCCUUAGUAACGUAGCUAACGCGUGAAGUUGACCGCCUGGGGAGUACGGUCGCAAGAUUAAAACUCAAAGGAAUUGACGGGGUCAUAGCUG
rnacentral:rRNA from 1 species